GGUAAUAUGCCUGAUAAAAGGGUUUUCUUGAUAGGAAAAAUUAUUAAAGUUUUUAUGUUACUU
rnacentral:tRNA from 1 species